rnacentral:rRNA from 1 species
GGAAGCCUCCAAGGACAGAAGCUCCAAGCUGCUCUCUCACAUAUGUGGGACCCGCAACUGUUGCAAUGUUGACCACAUUGUGAUAGAGACCAAGGGGAUCAACGAUGAGAGAACGCACUGCCACUUUUGUAUGCUCAACGUCUUCAACGCCUCGGGUCAUUCUGGGGUGGCGAGGUUCUUAGAGCUGGGAGGGUGUCCUCACACUCCCCGCUGCGGCACCAUCACCCUGCUCGAGGGUUCAUAAUGAAUGUGUUUGGCAGAAAGUUGGAGAUAAGCACCAACUGUACAACCGUAAAUUGCGGGGAACCCCUAAUAGCCUAUUCUACCGCGGCUGUGAGGAUGACUCACAGUGCAGCAGGUGCGGGUAACGCCCACCGGAUGGUAAUAACGAAUAGGAUGACCUAGUCCUCCAAAACAGACACAUAUAUAACAGGUCACAAUGGGCAAUCCGCAGCCAAGCUCCCAUCUGUUGGGAGAAGGUUCAGAGACUAUAAUCGGAUGGGCGCAAGCUUAAGGUAUAGUCCACUCCCACUUCGAAAGAGGUGCUAUAGAGUUAUUAAGAAGUGUAUGCUUACUUCCUAGGGCUCAUAGAUCCGUUGCUUGCAUAUAUAUAUAUAUGUGCAUCAAUACCACAAGAGGAAAUGCUUGUUGGAAGGAUCGUAGCAAGGGCCAGCAGCCGCGGUAAUUCCAGCUCCAAUAGCGUAUAUUAAAGUCGUUGCAGUUAAAAAGCUCGUAGUUGGAUCUAGAGACGCGCAUUUCAAGCGCCCGUGCCAUCGGGUCAAACCGGUGGCUGCGUUGGCGUUGCGGGCUCGGUCCGUCGGUGCCCCACAAAGGGCUAUCGGCGUGUCAACCGGCCCGCCCGUCCCCUCCUUCUGGAUUCCCGUUCCUGCUAUUGAGUUAGUGGGGACGUCACAGGGGGCUCAUCGUCGUGCGGGUCAAACCGUGCGGCGGUGGGUCCCUGGGGCCCAGAUCGUUUACCGUGAAAAAAUUAGAGUGUUCAAAGCAGGCAGAUCCAAUUUUCUGCCACCGAAUACAUUAGCAUGGGAUAAUGGAAUAGGACCCUGUCCUCCUAUUUUCAGUUGGUUUUGGCAGCGCGAGGACUAGGGUAAUGAUUAAUAGGGAUAGUUGGGGGCAUUAAUAUUUAAUUGUCAGAGGUGAAAUUCUUGGAUUUAUGAAAGAUUAACUUCUGCGAAAGCAUCUGCCAAGGAUGUUUUCAUUAAUCAAGAACGAAAGUUAGGGGAUCGAAGACGAUCAGAUACCGUCGUAGUCUUAACCAUAAACGAUGCCGACCAGCGAUUAGGAGACGUUGAAUACAAAACACCACCAUCGGUGCGGUCGUCCUUGGCGUCGGUUUCGGCCGGCGCGGGGGCGGCUUAGCCCGGUGGCACCGGUGAAUGACUCCCCUAGCAGCUUGUGAGAAAUCAUAAGUCUUUGGGUUCCGGGGGGAGUAUGGUCGCAAGGCUGAAACUUAAAGGAAUUGACGGAAGGGCACCACCAGGAGUGGAGCCUGCGGCUUAAUUUGACUCAACACGGGGAAACUUACCAGGUCCGGACAUAGUAAGGAUUGACAGAUUGAUAGCUCUUUCUUGAUUCUAUGGGUGGUGGUGCAUGGCCGUUCUUAGUUGGUGGAGUGAUUUGUCUGGUUAAUUCCGUUAACGAACGAGACCUUAACCUGCUAAAUAUGCCGCGCUAACCCGUCUAUCAAAACCCAUGCGUGGCUCACGCGGUCCGCUGCGGGGUGGUGUCGCUUCGCGGCGACGUCAUCCCGCCGGCAGGGCCCGGGUCCGUGUGGGCGGUAGGGUUCGGCGUCCGUGCUUCUUAGAGGGACUGCUGCGCGCCUAGCCAGCGGAAGUUUGAGGCAAUAACAGGUCUGUGAUGCCCUUAGAUGUUCUGGGCCGCACGCGCGCUACACUGAUUAAUCCAACGAGUCCGCUUCAAUCGAGGCGUGAUGCCCGUUGGGGUCAAACCCAACUGGCGUCGCUGUCCUCGAUCGCGCCUGGGCCGAUAGGUCCGGGUAAUCUUUGCAAAUUUAAUCGUGCUGGGGAUAGAUCAUUGUAAUUAUUGAUCUUCAACGAGGAAUUCCUAGUAAGCGCGAGUCAUCAGCUCGCGUUGAUUACGUCCUUGCCCUUUGUACACACCGCCCGUCGCUCCUACCGAUUGAGUGGUCCGGUGAAAUCCUCGGAGCCGUGGCCUCUACGCAAUCCGGGCAACCGGGUUGUGAGGUCUCCCCUUUUGGCGGCGAAGUCGAUUGAACCUUACCAUUUAGAGGAAGGAGAAGUCGUAACAAGGUCUCCGUAGGUGAACCUGCAGAAG